rnacentral:sRNA from 1 species
GUGUGUGUAUGUGUGUGUGUGUAUAUAUAUAUUCCUAUCUCCUAUGUGUGCUUCAUGGAAAUUUCCUUUUGCUUGGAUUACAUCACUGACCCUUUCAAGGGUGCUCACUUCUUGAGUACACAUCAAUCAAUAUAAAUUUAUUGAAUGACGAAAAUAUAAGAGCCUCAUUUUCCUGGCUUGUUCUCCAUGUGCUAGAAGCUGGAGUUACAGGAAAGCAAAUACUUGCCUGGAGAAAGGCCAAGAUAAGGGCGGAAUGUCUACCUAACGUAUUCUCAACAAAGAAGCCCGAGAGCAGUUCUUCUGAAUGCCACUUUCAAAUGCUCACUGGGAAGCAUGUGGAACCACCCCGCCAAGCCUCGGGGCCUUUCCUCGUGGGUCCGGGGAUUUAGCGUGACGAGCCCGGGAAGCCCUGCUCGCAGGGGUGCAAGCUCGCCCCGAGCGCGGGCACGUGCAGAUGCUGCGGCUGCCUCGCUCCCUCGCGGCCUCCCACAGCCCCUCGCGGCCCUGCAAACGGGGUCGGGCCUCCCGGAGCGGCUUUCCUCAGAGGAUCAGCCCUGAGGAUCACGACUCUCUAGGUUCCCCGUGUCGCUGGCUCCCCACCGCGGCUCCCUGUCCCUUCCAUCCCUCCCCGCCACGCGCACGGGAGGAAGGCGGGACCGAGUGAGUCGCCGUCACGUGGGCGCUGGACGAGCAGAGGCGCUCUGCGCAGAAGCGCUCUGCGCAGGGGCUGUCCGCGCCUCGCCGGGCCUUGGCGCCCGCAGCCUCAGUGGAAAUUUUUCAGGAGACCUACUGAGGCUGCGCGGCACUGGCCACGCCCCUUCCCGCCCGUUUGCCUCUGAGCGGGUUCCUCCCUCCCCUGGGAAGCAGCCCCGCCCCCGCCCGCGCGCUUCUGCGCAAGCCCCGCCCUCCCCGGGGAAACCGCCGCGUAAGCCCCGCCCUCCCUGGGGAAACCAAGGCCGAUUUCCCCUGGGCCCUGACUUCCCCAGCAACUCGCGCUGGCCCGGACGCCUGCGGGGAGACCUAAUGUGUGGCCGCCUGGCAUCCUGAGAGGCGAGCAGGGCGCACUGGCGCCUUCGCCUUCGCCUGCGGGUCGCCGCGGCCUCAGCCUCGACACCUCAGCUCCACACGGAUCCCACACCUUCUGGAUAGAGCUGGACGGAGGGAGGAGUGGUUGGGGUGGAUGACUGAGGCUCCCUGAGGGAACCGACGGUCGCCUAGACAAAGCCCGAUCUGGAUUACCUCCCCCUCGCCAGGGAAAUAAAUAAUAUUUCUUUUUCCACGUCCAGAAAUAUGCCUCACGUAAUUUAUCCCCAGGCAGGAAUUUUGAGGAGCUUGACCUUGCUCACCCA